UACGGAGGGUGCGAGCGUUGUUCGGAGUUACUGGGCGUAAAGCGCGCGUAGGCGGUGCGGUAAGUCGGGUGUGAAAUCCCACAGCUCAACUGUGGAAUUGCGCCCGAAACUGCUGAGCUUGGGGCCGGUAGAGGGAGACGGAACUGCCGGUGUAGGGGUGAAAUCCGUAGAUAUCAGCAGGAACGCCGGUGGAGAAGUCGGUCUCCUGGGCCGUUCCUGACGCUGAGGCCCGAAAGCUAGGGGAGCAAACCGG
rnacentral:rRNA from 1 species